GCGGUAAGGCCCUUCGGGGUACACGAGCGGCGAACGGGUGAGUAACACGUGGGUGACCUGCCCCCAACUCUGGGAUAAGCCCGGGAAACUGGGUCUAAUACCGGAUAUGACCACAUGUCGCAUGGUGUGUGGUGGAAAGUUUUUCGGUUGGGGAUGGGCCCGCGGCCUAUCAGCUUGUUGGUGGGGUGAUGGCCUACCAAGGCGACGACGGGUAGCCGGCCUGAGAGGGCGACCGGCCACACUGGGACUGAGACACGGCCCAGACUCCUACGGGAGGCAGCAGUGGGGAAUAUUGCGCAAUGGGCGAAAGCCUGACGCAGCGACGCCGCGUGGGGGAUGACGGCCUUCGGGUUGUAAACCUCUUUCGCCAGGGACGAAGCGAAAGUGACGGUACCUGGAUAAGAAGCACCGGCCAACUACGUGCCAGCAGCCGCGGUAAUACGUAGGGUGCGAGCGUUGUCCGGAAUUAUUGGGCGUAAAGAGCUCGUAGGCGGUCUGUCGCGUCGGUCGUGAAAACUUGGGGCUUAACCCUGAGCUUGCGGUCGAUACGGGCAUGACUGGAGUUCGGCAGGGGAGACUGGAAUUCCUGGUGUAGCGGUGAAAUGCGCAGAUAUCAGGAGGAACACCGGUGGCGAAGGCGGGUCUCUGGGCCGAUACUGACGCUGAGGAGCGAAAGCGUGGGGAGC
rnacentral:rRNA from 1 species